rnacentral:rRNA from 1 species
GCAAGCUAAAUUUCUAGUCUUGACCUCGGAUCAGGUAGGGAUACCCG